CGGAGGACGGAUGCAGAGGGCUGGCGGCGCCUUCCGACUCCUCCGGUUCCCGGUGGGGGACGCCCCGGUGGCGGAGGAGCCACUCUGGGACCUGGGUGGCUCCCGCGGGCUGCCCAACCCCGCCCUGGACAGAGCCCCACACCGUGGACCCGCACCGGCUGCCAGGCUCUGUCUACAUCAGUCACUCACAGACUCAGCAACUGCAGCAUCGGCGCGGUCCCCAAGCUGCCAGGUACAGCUAGACACUUUGUACAGGUGGAAAGACUCCUAACCAUGUGUAGGAACGGUCCCCCUCAGCGGCUGCGGCAGGAGGAGCCUGGAGGAAGCUCACAGACUCUGCACUUUGGGAGGACUGGGCUUAGUACAAUCAGCAUAUGGUAGAGGUCUUAAGGAAAAUAAAGCAAAAAAAUGUACUUCUCUAAAAGCCCCUCUGGAGACAUGGGGUUCCUCGGGGGUGGCUGCGAGGGGCCUCUCUGGUACUUUGCGGGCUUUAGGGAUGGGGCUGGGGCACGGAGGACAGGCCCACGCACCCUCCCACCUCUGCCCCCACAGCUGCCACCCUCCAUCCCUUCCCCACACGCCCACAGGCACCGGGACACUCAGGGACUGGAACAUGUCACAGGGUAAAGGAUAAACACUCCCCAAAGUUUCUAGAAAGCCAGGAGGACCACACGCAGCCCAUUUGUCCCCCGCCAGGGACGAAAGCCAGGCCCGUGCGCUUUACCCCGGGAAGGCCUCCUCCCCCCACACCCGGCGUGGCUGGCUCACCACCCAUGGCCCUGACUGGGGGACUCUGCAACUGGGGGAAGCUUUGCAAGCCAAACCAAACAGAGCCUGAGGGCGUCAGAGCCUGCUCUGCAGGCCUCGCCCAGGGGACAAGGUCCAGCUCACAGCCUUGGUUUAAAAGGAGAGCGGAGGACGCACCCAGAAGCCGGCCUCCCCGAGCCUCCUCCCCAGUAUCCCAGCGCCCAGCGGCCUGCCCACCCCACCAGGGGCCCAGCCUCCAGCUGCCCCACACCUCCACCCCCUGGUCUGAACGCUGAGCCCGGCUCCCCCAGGGCUGGCUCCACACGGACUCCAACAUCUCUGCCACGGAACUGCAUCACAAUCACACAUCUUCAGUGGAGAGAAAAAGGCCGUGACACACAUGCUUCUCACUGCCGGAGAAAGGAGACCCGAGACACGCUUCUACUUCCUACUACAUUUCAAGCUGAUGAAACGCAGCUAAUAGCAUGUCAGAAGAAACAGCAGCAGAACCUUAAAUGCGAUGUUCGAAUAGCAAAUGCCUCCCCCCCCCAUAACCAGUUCCUAAUAGGUAAGUGCCAGGCUGGGCAAAUGGACAAGGAUAACGGGUGAAGGUGGGCAGCCUUAGACGUUUCUGGUUUAUUGGAAGUUAUCAUGCACCGAGCUUGCAUGUCUUUUUUAAAGCAUCACCAUGCAGAGCUGCUCUGUCACACUCCUGCCACUGAAAGCCAGCCCCUCUGAGUCAACGGUCUUCUGAGCUCAGCAGAUUCUGAGUCGGAGAGGUGAUUUGCAUGGAUUUUUGUGCAAUCCUAUUUACAAACCAAUUGACAAAAAAGAAAGUGUUCCAAGCCUAGAGUACAUGGUGUGACUCGGAGCUUGCCAGCAAGGCCUCAGGGGUGCUCUCGUGCUGGUCCUCACCACAGCAUCCCCACUGGGGGACCCAAGUUGCCUGGGGAGUGGUGGGGCGCAAGCAAGUUCAAGACCAAGUGUUCCCCAGCCUGAGCUGGGAUGCGAGUAUGAGCAAGUCUGGUGGAGAAUUUCACCUGACAAAUUUGUUCCAAAUACCUUGGGUUUCUCUCUUGUUUGUGUUAUUGUCGUGGCGAGGUCCACUCCCUGGUGAGCGUGGUUUGAAAACUGCUGCCAUUAUAAAAGCCCUGAGAGGAGAGCUUCUGCCAGGGUGUUUACAACUCAGGCAGUAAGAUGACUCCAGAGAAGGGCUUGGAGCAGAAGCAACACGGCCGCAAUGCCAAGAAGGCAGGAAGAUCAGAAGUGACCCAUCUUUCAGCCUCACCUUCCGCUGUGCCGACCCAGGCCUGCAGCCACCUGUACACCCUUGACUCUCAUUCCGUGACAUACAAAUGUUCCGUGGGAGUUUUAAGAGGGUGACAAAGUGACUUCACUCGUACUGUGAGAUGUUUUCUUGACGUUAAUUUAUAUUGAUUUUCCAUCAAUGUGACAGUUUUAGUAAAAAAAAAAAAAACUUCACACCAAAAUUGUCCAAAAUCGAUUUGUGAAAUACCUUAUAAUCAUAAGGUCCAAAUUCUGGCUAGAAAGACUCUGUCGAAACACCCUUCUGAAGAGACCUCUUAUUUGGUCGUUAGAAUGAUAGGUUAGCUACCCUAGGAAAAAAUAAAUGAUUCUAACAGCCAACCA
rnacentral:lncRNA from 1 species